GAAGCACUUCUUAGGAAUAGUGUAUAACCAGGGUGGGUUUAUUUCGUUAACCAUGGUUACCGCUUCAUCUGGAUCCUUCCAAUCUUCCUUCCAUCCUUUCUUAUCCACGAACUGAUACGAGUUCUGAGUUGUCAAUUCCUCUGUUAUACCACCGAAGAGUGUAGUCGAUCGAUCGUUGUUUUCGCUUCUAUCACUUCGCCAUAGCCGACGCCGCUGACUCUGGCUCUUACCGCCUCUUUCCUUCACAUAACACCCGAUUUUCUUCUCCAUGUGCUUAUAAGAAGAUUCAAGUUUCAGAGUCUUCAAUUGCAAUUUUGGAUCGGCUGACUCGCUCCUAUACAAGGUAUGCAAAUCCAAAUUGUCGUCUGGCUAGGGAUUCUGCUUUGGUGUCGCAAGAUAACCUACACACAAAUGCCUUUGGUUCCUGAAAGAGAUCUCGAAAGGAACAAUUGGCACAUUCAACUUCAACUUCAGCCUACGUCUGUUGUUUUAUGUGGGUUUCCGGCCUCAAGCGCUGCUUCUCACGAACAGACUUAACUCUCCACACACUCUAAUUACCAUCUCAAUCACUGUUGGUUGAUCAGAUGAGGGAUAGUUUGUUUCUCACAAACAAACAUCAGGUGACACCUGCAACUUGCUCCUAUUUUGUUCUCUUCUGCUCAUCAGUUUGAUUUCUAGGUAUUUACUACACUUCAUUUUGUUUUUUUCCCUAUAUUGUUAUAAGCUUCCGCGUUUUAUGCGAUUUAGGAUUUAUACCGAUAUCGAUUUGGGGGUCACAGUAUCCAUGGCGUUCAUCGGCUGUUCCCUUAACCCACUGCUUCACACGAUGAAAGCGGAUGCGAUGAGUAGUCGGCUGUAAAAUCAAUGUUCUCAUUGUAGCCUGCACAAUCUAAACUGAAAUCGAGGGGUUGCUUGGGACGUUAACGGUUAAUUAUCGAUUGAUUCGUUCUCUAGAAUCUCGACUUUUGCCAUUAUCGAUCUAUUUAUGUAUUCUGCUUCUAUUCUUCUACCGACUACCCUUUGACUUUACGGAACCAAUACACAAUUAGAAAACAAAAGUUUGUCAAAUGUUCAUGAAACCAUUUUUUAUUUAUUCACUUCAACUUUUUAUUCGUUGUCUUGCACAAUCUAAAAAUGAAACUUGUAAUUAAACCCUAUGAGACUUUUUAUACAUGGUUUUGUUUUUUGUUAUUAAUAAUUGACAUUUUCUACUUUGUGGGUGUCGGUUGAUUUUUUUGUGCUUUUAGAUGUAUACGUCGACCUGUAUUACAUAAGGAAUCAUAAAGAGAAUGAAUGAUCCACAGAAGGUGUUCUAUGAAAUGCUUCACCGAAAUGAAUAAUACAUGGCAGAGAAGGAAAAUGGAGGACUGAAAGAAAAGCAAGGAAGGAAUUCAAUUUGAUUCCAAUUCCAUGUUUGGUUGUAAAUUAAUCGAGUGACUUUGUUCAAUGUGUAUGCGAGAUAAUAGAGGAUGGGGGAGGUACUUGUUGUAAUUAUGAACUCGAUGGAGUUAUUCGAUAUGAGUAGUUAUGGAGAAAAGUAAGAUUUACCUGAUGAUAACAAUGAAUCUAAGAGAUAGAAAAAAAGGUUAUGAUGCUAGACAUCAUGAUGCUUUACGGUUGUUAGCAUGGUUUCACCUCAAAUGGAUCAAAGUGGAAGUGAUUAGGCUUUUAGUUGCUUUAUCUGCACUGGCUGUAUUGAAACAAGAAGAAAAAAAUGAAGAUGAGAAAACACCAAAAAGAAUGUCAGCCAAGUCGAGACAUGGAGAUUUUCAACAGGUUUAGCAGCUCCAACAAUUGUUGCACGAUUUAGUGUUUAACACCAACAUUGGGUACAAUUAUAGCAAUAAUUGGGCAUGGUGGUUUUGUUGUUGUUAGACAGUUGCACGAAAUGUUGUAGUGGCUGCUUCGUUUGGAGGUGAAUAAAAAGUAAACGUUUAAGAAUGACAUUUUUUAUUUUAUUUUGUGGAGAUAAUAAGUAAAAAUAUGGCACCUCGGGUUGCUGAUGUGUAUUUUUCAAAAGCAUUGCAUGAUGUCGAUAUACAUGUGAAAACUUUCUUUUAAUUUUACAUUUUGUUUCUAUUAAGGUUUUGACUUAUUUUUUCUGCUCAUAUUGUGGUUUGCUUUCAUUCUUUUGUACCCUCACGUUAAUACCGAUGGCCAUAUUGUUUAAAUGAGUGUCCAUAAUACAUUUUUUCUUCAAUUCUUAAACUACCCAUUGAAAUUUAGAGACCUUAUAAUGGUGUUAUUGAAACAUAUAACAUUUUACUUUAAU